GUUUAUUAAUUAUAAUAAAGUAACCGAAAAUAAACGGGUAAAAUACGGUAGUGAUAAAAAUAAACCCAGUAAAUAUUAGGAUCUAAAUAAGUAAGCCUAAUAUUAACUAAAAAGUGAAUCAAAGCUUUGGAGGAAAUAAAGCUUAUAAAAGACCCGAGGUAACGGGGUGUAUGUAACACCCUAAAACAUAAAUCCUUUUAUUAUAAAUCCGACGUUGAUAUUAACGAGAUAAACUAACUAGUGAUAAAACUAACCUAGUUAGAUAAGAGUUUAGUGAUAAUAAAUUAGAGUGUUAGAAACACCCAAAAUAAAAACCUCAUGAAAGUAGGAGGGUUAAAAGUGCCAAGUAUGAAACAAGUUUUAUUAAACACAAAUAAAAUAAAAAUCCAACACACACACUGGUGUGUGGAUCGACCAGAACGUAGAGGGGGGCGAUCAGGUUUCUCCAAAACCCUAACUCACCCAAAAAUUCACAAAUUGAAGGUCAAGAUCAAUUCCAAAACGAAAUCUGAGCCUAGAUUGGUGAUCUCCAUUGCAAGGGGGUCAUAAGCGUAGGAGCCAUGUCAACAUGGACACGAGCAUGGAAGGGCAAUGGGUCAAAGCUAAAUACGGAAGCUAUGCAUGAACUCGGACGCACGAGGUAAGUGAUUUCUGUAAUCACUUCUUAUUUUAUUUAAGUAAAGUAGCGUUAGUUGAUUAAGCAUGAUGAUGUUUGAAGUUUCAUAUGGUUUUGGUCGUAUGAAAUUGGUAAUUUUAGCUUAGUAGACCGAAUGGGACAAUAUAAAGUUGUAAUGAUAUGACGAAUAAUGUCUAAGUAAUGGCUACGGUAUGUAAUCGGGUAAUGGGUAAAAUUGCACAUAAGUGCACCAACCGAGAAUGGGGACUUAGGUUAAUGGGUCAAAGUGAAGGUAUACUUUAGCACGGAACGUUUGUACAAGCAAUGUCGAUAGUAUUUCAUGUGCCCGGUUAGUGUAAGGUGUUAUAACAUUAACAUUAUGUGAGCCUUAAGUGUAAACAUAUGAGUUGUUGAUAAAUGCAUGACGGGUCGAAUAAUUCGUAAUGAAUAAUAAGCC